CUUCUUUACGUUUUUGUGACAGAGGAGUUUUGUGUUCGUGAAGUUUGCCCGGAAGCGCCUGCCGUCGUCUGUGUCUACUAAUGUUCCGAAUUCUCCUGCGUUUCGCGGUUGUGGUUGGAUCCUUCCUUUGCUCAAACAGAGGGACAUUGAUUUUGAGUUGCGUGGCUGAGGUCAUAAUGAUUAUGAUGGUUGCUAUGGUGAUUCGUUUUACCUUCGGACGCGAGAGUCAAGGAAAUCAUGGCUGAAGUUGAAGUCUUGUGGUUGCAUCUUUAGGUGUUGGAAGCUAAUUUUGUUACUCUGAUUUUAUUAGACUUAUGUUUCAUGGUAAGCUCAAAAGGAGCGUUUACUUAUUAUUUUGUUAAUGCAACUUAAUUCGUAAACUCUGUGUAAUGUAAUAUAUAACUCUAAAGAAAAAGUCUGUAUUGACAUUG